rnacentral:rRNA from 1 species
UACGUAGGGGGCAAGCGUUGUUCGGAAUUACUGGGCGUAAAGGGCUCGUAGGCGGCCAACUAAGUCAGACGUGAAAAUCCCUCGGCUUAACCGGGGAACUGCAUCUGAUACUGGAUGGCUUGAGUUCGGGAGAGGGAUGCGGAAUUCCAGGUGUAGCGGUGAAAAUGCGUAGAUAUCUGGAGGAACACCGGUGGCGAAGGCGGCAUCCUGGACCGACACU